rnacentral:rRNA from 1 species
UACAGAGGUGGCAAGCGUUGUUCGGAAUUACUGGGCGUAAAGGGCGCGUAGGCGGUCUUGUAAGUCUUGUGUGAAAUCCCUCGGCUUAACUGAGGAACUGCACGGGAUACUGCGAGACUUGAGUUCGGGAGAGGGAAGCGGAAUUCCGGGUGUAGCGGUGAAAUGCGUAGAUAUCCGGAGGAACACCGGUGGCGAAGGCGGCUUCCUGGACCGACACUGACGCUGAGGCGCGAAAGCUAGGGGAGCAAACAGG